rnacentral:rRNA from 1 species
AGUGAACGCUGGCGGUAGGCCUAACACAUGCAAGUCGAACGGCAGCACAGUAAGAGCUUGCUCUUACGGGUGGCGAGUGGCGGACGGGUGAGGAAUACAUCGGAAUCUACUUUUUCGGGGGGGAUAACGUAGGGAAACUGACGCUAAUACCGCAUACGACCUACGGGUGAAAGCAGGGGAUCUUCGGACCUUGCGCGAUUGAAUGAGCCGAUGUCGGAUUAGCUAGUUGGCGGGGUAAAGGCCCACCAAGGCGACGAUCCGUAGCUGGUCUGAGAGGAUGAUCAGCCACACUGGAACUGAGACACGGUCCAGACUCCUACGGGAGGCAGCAGUGGGGAAUAUUGGACAAUGGGCGCAAGCCUGAUCCAGCCAUACCGCGUGGGUGAAGAAGGCCUUCGGGUUGUAAAGCCCUUUUGUUGGGAAAGAAAAGCAGCAGGUUAAUCCCCCGCUGUUCUGACGGUACCCAAAGAAUAAGCACCGGCUAACUUCGUG